AGACCAUGAUGUGGGCAUAGCCUCAUCAUGUCUUUUCAUCUCUCCCAAGCUUCAAAAAGUGAUUCAUUAUCCUUUUGUUAAACCCGUUUAUUUGGGAUCUUAGCAU